rnacentral:rRNA from 1 species
AGUGAACGCUAGCGGUGCGCCUAAUACAUGCAAGUCGAGCGCCCUUCAUAGUGCCAAUUACGGUUGGUAGUGUGAAGGGAGCGGCGAACGGCUGAGUAACACGUUGGAACCUACCUCACACUCAGGGAUAACUCGGUGAAAAUCGAGCUAAUACCGGAUAGUCCCGAAAGGGUAAAGAUUUAUCGGUGUGAGAGGGGCCUGCGGCCUAUCAGUUAGUUGGUAAGGUAAAAGCUUACCAAGACUAUGACGGGUAACUGGUCUGAGAGGAUGACCAGUCAGAAUGGAACUGAGACACGGUCCAUACUCCUACGGGAGGCAGCAGUAAGGAAUCUUCCACAAUGGGCGAAAGCCUGAUGGAGCGACACCGCGUGAAGGAUGACACCAUUAUUUGGCGUAAACUUCUGUCCUGAGGGAAGAAAUUUUUGACGGUACCUCAGAAGAAAGCACCGGCUAAUUCCG